GAUGAACGCUGGCGGCGUGCCUAAUACAUGCAAGUCGAACGAAGAUCUAGCUUGCUAGAUCUUAGUGGCGAACGGGUGAGUAAUACAUAAAUAAUCUGCCCAUAUGACUGGGAUAACUAUUGGAAACGAUAGCUAAUACCGGAUAGGUUGAUCGGUGGCAUCUCUGAUGAAUUAAAGUAGGAUUUCUACACAAAUGGAUGAGUUUAUGGCGCAUUAGUUAGUUGGUGGGGUAACGGCCUACCAAGACGAUGAUGCGUAGCCGACCUGAGAGGGUGACCGGCCACACGGGGACUGAGACACGGCCCAGACUCCUACGGGAGGCAGCAGUAGGGAAUUGUCGGCAAUGGGCGCAAGCCUGACCGAGCAACGCCGCGUGAGGGAUUAAGGCCUUUGGGUUGUAAAGCUCUGUUGUAAGGGAAGAACAUUCAGGAUAGGAAAUGAUCUUGAACUGACGGUACCUUACCAGAAAGCCACGGCUAACUACGUGCCAGCCGCCGCCGUAA
rnacentral:rRNA from 1 species